UGGGGAAUAUUGGGCAAUGGGCGAAAGCCUGACCCAGCAACGCCGCGUGAAGGAAGAAGGUUUUCGGAUCGUAAACUUCUAUCCUUGGUGAAGAUAAUGACGGUAGCCAAGAAGGAAGCCCCGGCUAACUACGUGCCAGCAGCCGCGGUAAUACGUAGGGGGCAAGCGUUGUCCGGAAUGAUUGGGCGUAAAGGGCGCGUAGGCGGCCUGGUAAGUCUGGAGUGAAAGUCCUGCUUUUAAGGUGGGAAUUGCUUUGGAUACUGCUGGGCUUGAGUGUAGGAGAGGUAAGUGGAAGUCCCGGUGUAGCGGUGAAAUGCGUAGAGAUCGGGAGGAACACCAGUGGCGAAGGCGACUUACUGGACUGUAACUGACGCUGUGGCGCGAAAGUGUGGGGAGCAAACA
rnacentral:rRNA from 1 species